UACGGAGAGUGCGAGCGUUGUUCGGAAUCAUUGGGCGUAAAGAGCGUGUAGGCGGCCUGUUAAGUCUGGUGUGAAAGCCCUCGGCUCAACCGAGGAAGUGCAUUGGAUACUGGCAGGCUCGAGUACGGGAGAGGGAAGCGGAAUUCCCAGUGUAGAGGUGAAAUUCGUAGAUAUUGGGAGGAACACCAGUGGCGAAGGCGGCUUCCUGGACCGAUACUGACGCUGAGACGCGAAAGCGUGGGGAGCAAACAGG
rnacentral:misc_RNA from 1 species